GCCUCCUUCUUUCUUCGCCCCUCCCUGGCAAACAAGCCCCUCCCCUUCCCUCAGCCACCUCGGGCAUUUCCGCCACUGGAGCCGAAGUUCUUCGCCCGCUGCCUGCCUGCCUCGCGCGCUCCCUGGCGAACGAGCACCCGAGCCGAGCUAAGCCCCUCCCCACCUGCCUCGGGCAUUUCCGCCGCUAGAGCCGAAGCUCUUCGCCCGCCGCCUGCUUGCCUCGCGCCCUUCCUGGCGAACGAGCACCCGAGCCGAGCUAAGCCCCUCCCCCUCCCUCACCCGCCCGCCUCGGGCAUUUCCGCCGCUGGAGCCGAAGCAGUUCGCCCGCCGCCUGCCUGCCUCGCGCCAGACGAGUCCUUUAUGUCUGCGUCCGCGCUGCGCCUGCGCCGCCAGCGCCAUUUUUUUUGGCCACCUCCGCCUCCCUCCCUUUUCUGACUGAGUGACUGACUGUGGAGCAGGGAAACCGCGAGGGAAGGGAAGGAAGGGGCCGAAAAGGAGGAGGAAGAAGAGGAGAGAGAGACACACAUACACAGCGCUGAGAGGAAGAGGAGGGGGAGGAGGCGUCGGCGCAGAGAGGGAGGAGGAAGAAGGAACCGCUCAGGGGCUGCGCCAGGCUCGCCUCCCCUCGUGCCUCCCCGCCCUCCCUCCCUCCCUCCCUCCCUGGGAGUCAUGCCCCGCGUCGCCCGCUCCUGCUGCUGCUCCUGCCUCCGUUGCUCUUGAUGGGGAGGCGCGCGGCGCCCGACAGCUCCAGCGGGACUGGCGUAGGUACUCCCCGCGAAGGCCCUACCCUCCUCCCCGUUCAUUUGGGAGGCUCCGCUUGGGGGCUUCCCCUGCGUCGGGGCGGCUCCUCGCCCCCUCCCUCCCUCCUUGCUUGACGAGUCGGCUGCGCUUGAGCGGGGAACCUCAGUCCCUCCUUCCGCCUGAAGGGAGCGGGGAGGGGAGGGGAGUGGAUGGCCGGGGCCUGAGGAGAGGCAGGGGCCUGGGCGCGCGCGCCUGAGAGAGACAGAGAGAGAGAGAGAGCGCGAGAGGAAGAGUAGUGCGUGGCGUGUCGCGCGCCUCCCUCCCUCCCGCCAUUCUGGGGAAGCGAGCUCCUUAAAAUAGCCCUCUUGUCGCCCAAUGCACCACCAGCCUGACUCAGCGGCAGACAGUCCUAGCGGGGGGAGGAAGAUGGCGCACCCGGCGAUGCUCCCUCGGAGGGGAAGCAGUGGCAGCAGUGGCGUCGCCGUGGUGGGGCCGGCCCUGGGAGGCGGCACCCUGGAAGACCUCCCGCCGCCGCCUGCCGCAUCCUCCUCCUCUGCUGGGCCUCAGGGGCCUCCGCCCCCUCCGCCGCCGCAGAGCCUGUCCCUCGUCUCGCAGCCCGUACAGAUGCCUCUCCCCCUCCCCCCCGCGGGGCAGGCGGGGGCCCAGAUGAAGAAGAAGAGCGGCUUCCAAAUCACCAGCGUGACCCCGGCCCAGAUCUCUGCCAGCCUCAGCUCCAACAACAGCAUUGCCGAGGACACUGAGAGCUACGACGAUUUGGACGAGUCCCACACCGAGGACCUCUCCUCCUCCGAGAUCCUCGACGUCUCCUUGUCCCGGGCCACCGAUCUCGGGGAGCCCGAGCGCAGCUCCUCUGAGGAAACCCUCAACAACUUCCAAGAGGCCGAGAGCCCUGGGGCCGUCUCCCCGAAUCAGCCCGGCGUCCCACAGCAGCAGCCCGCUCCGGCCUUGCCUCAUGCUCCACAGCAGCAGGGCAUGGCGAUGAAUGGGAGCGUUCACCCGCCUCAUGGACAUCAUUUCCACCACCAUCAUCACCACCACCACCAUGGGCAUCACCACUCGUCGCAUUCUGGGGCGGCCGCUCCAUCCAGCCCAUCCUUUAGGAAGCUCUCUGCAGCUGGAAGCACUGAUGGGGCUGCUGCCACAGUGGCAACCGUGCCUGUUUCUGCUGCAUCAUCCACUGUAGCCACCACCAUUUCUCAUUUCCGUGCUGCUGGGGUCCCUUCGGCCGGGGGAGCUACUACUGGCACAUUCGGCAGUGUAGCCAGUGGCGGGCCUAGCAUGGUCAGCAGCGUGCCCCCUGGCCAUGUGAAUAAGAAUCUCAGUAACAUCCCAAGUACAGGAGGGGGAACUGCUCUGCCUGUGGCAAGUGGCAGCGUCAACGUUGCUGUCCUGAGUGGGGUUAGCAAUGGCACGAGUGCUUCCUCUGGCAACUCUAGCAAUCCGGUUGCUGGAGCAGUGCCUAGUCAUCUACAGCCCACAGCCAGCACAUCAAGGUUUAGAGUGGUGAAACUGGAUUCUAGUUCAGAGCCUUUUAAGAAAGGCAGGUGGACAUGCACAGAAUUCUAUGACAAAGAGAACCCAGCGUCCCUCACGGAAGGAGUAGCAGCAGUAAACAAAGCAGUUGACACUCUGAAACAAAACCCUCUUGAAGGGACUUCUGAAAGGGAGAGUACCAGUGGGAGCUCGGUGAGCAGCAAUGUAAGCACAUUGAGUCACUAUACGGAAAGUGUGGGAAGUGGAGAGAUGGGAGCAGCACCUACUGUGAUGGUGCAGCAGCAGCAAGCAUUUCAAGGGGCGGAUUUUAGCACCACUGGCCCUCAAGGUGUGCCAGCACCCAGUAUGCCCCAGAGCAUUUCCCAGUCACAGCUUGCACAAGCACAGCUUCAUCCUCAGGAUGUGAAUUAUUCUCAGCUACAGCAAGGGGUCCAGCCCCCUCCCUCAGCGGUUCCUCCUCCUGUGAAUAUAGUAGGUGGCCAUCAACAGCCAGCUAUGGCAGCAUCACAGCAGCUGCCAUACACUCAACAAUCGUCGCAACCUGUGCAGGCUGUUCCGGUUGUGCCUCAACCACACCAGUUGCCGUAUGGGCAAGGACAGGCACAGCACCCUGUACCACCUCAACAGAUGCCCAUGCAGAUGGCCCCAGGGCAUAUUCAGCCAGUGAAUCAAAACUCCGUGCCGGAUUACAUGCAGCAGCAGCAACAGCAGCAGCAACAACAACAGAUGGUGCAAACCCCAGCUUCUUCUAUGCAGACUGGUCCUCCAGUGGUGGGAACGGGUACGCCUGUCCCUGUUGCUCAGGCCCCAAGUGUACAGCCUUCAGUACAAGCACACUUGGCAGUGGCAUCCUCUCAACCUGUUGCCCAUGCCCAGACAACAAUGCAGACCAUUGGAGCUAAUGCUCAGAUGAUGAAUGUUGGGCCACAAGCAAGUGUACCUCCUGUGGUGCCACAGCAGCCACCUGUUACAAACCAAAUUACCCCUCAAGUGAUGGCACAAAAUACUGCUCCUCCACCUUCUCAAGCAGUGCCCCCUGUUGCAGCAGGGAUGAUUCAUCCAGGGCAGCAAGGCAGCACAUCAAGUCUCUCUCAGCCAUUGGUGAUUGCACCACAGAGUACAUUGCUACAAGCAGCAGAAUCUCUUGUUCAAGGACUUGCUGGUCAACUGCCUCCUGUGAGCCCUAUACCUUCCGUUAGUGCUGUUCCUGCCCCAUGCCACCCUUCUGCAAAUGUACCCGCUGCUCCUAUGAGUUUGGCUACUUCAAAGAACCUAGCACAGUCUUCAGGUGUGCAGAAUGGGAACUUGGUUCAAAAUGUUUCCCAGCCUUCAUUGAUAUCGACUAGCAUUAAUUUGCCUAUAGCUCCAAAUUUGUCCGCACAGAUGCCACUGAACUCGGCCCAGUUUUCUGCACAGUCUCUUGCCCAUGCAGUUGCAUCCCGAGCUGAAGAAGCCAGGCGCUCUACAGAACCCACCUUGAUUGGCUUACCCCAACUUAUCAGCGGUGACGGUGGAGGAGGUGCAUCAUCAUCCAUUUCAGAUGGAGGCAGCAGCAUGGCAUCCUCUCUUUUUCCCCUGAAGGUACUUCCAUUGACAUCGCAGCUGGUUGAUGGUGAGGAUGAGAGUUGUUUCUGCUAAUUUGCUAAACUCUCUUAACUUCUGACUGGAGAAUGAAUGGAGAAAUGACUUCUUCAGAGGCAACAGACAACACUUUACCCUGCCUUUAGAGACUGCAUGAAGGAUGCAUUCCGUAACUUGAAUGCAAAGCGGAGCACAACCCUCCAUCCUUACAGAUACAGAAUGACUGAGUCUAACAUUGCACAGUAGUAUGCCCAUGAAGAGGCACUGCCAAAGUUAAUAAUGUCUAGUGCAAAAGCUGGGAAAUGUGACUGAGCCAAGCAGGUAGGUAAAUAUGCUUGACAUGUGGAAGGAAAAUAUUACAAGCCAACACACACCUGAUUUGCAGUACUGCAAAGCUAUCAUUCUGUGGGUAUUUUCUUAAAGAUAGAAUAUAAUUCAGUAUUCCUGUAAGUAGUGUUCAUUUGUUAACAUUGUAUUUCUAGUUGACCACUGUGUUCUCUAAGAAUGUUAUAUAUCUUUACUGGUUUAACUGGUCUUUAGGACAAAGGCCUGUUAAACCAGUAAUUAGAAAGCCAUUGAAAUUUUUUAAGUCAUGUGUUUAUGCAGGAGCAUGUGUUCUACUAGCAAUGGUUAAUUUUAUAAAAGGCAUGUAAAAUCAGCAGUGACAGAAACAAUUCUAUGCAUAUGCAUGUAUGUCUAAAAGAGAAACAGAAAAAGUCCAGCCAUUUUAUCAAAUAUUGUAAGUAGAAGCAUUUAGAAAAUAUGGUGUAUCUGGAUCACUAAUUCACCUUGAGAUUAAGCAACAGGCCAGGUAUCCCAUGCAUAUGACAAGGCAAAGCAGUGUCCAUGUUGGGUAACACAUGAACCACCAAGUUGGAUAAAAAUUCAGUAAUAAAAAAAUCAUGGUUGUAUUUUGAAAGAUGAGAUAAUUGCUGUCUGGAAAAAACAAUUUAUCUCCCAAUCUUACUAUUUCAUUGGUUCCCAACCUUUGGUUCUCUGGGUGUUUUGGACUUCAGCUCCCACAAUUCCUGGUAAGCUGGCUGGGAUUUCUGGGAGUUGAAGUACAAAACAAUUGGAGAACCAAAGUUUGGGAACCACUGAUCUAGUAUGUCAGGUGUAAUAUCACAUCAAUUCAUGGGAAAGGUGCAUGUUUUAAAUUGUUUCAAAUAUGUUCAGUUGAAGGUUCUGUUAAAGACAUGUUGAGAUUCUGUCAACCAAAUUAAAUGGGUUUAAAAAUUAAAAUGCUAUUGGAGCUCAAGACAUAUUUGAAACAAAUUAUAUAAUGAAGUAUCACUGUCUCAUUUCUCCUAAAGCCUCUCAUCAGGAGAAAAUCCUUAUAUUAGCUAAAAUUAGUGGGGUCUUCAGUAACUUUUGAAAUAUACUUUGUAAUUGUUUGUAAAGAAGGCAACAUGUCAUCACUUACUUUAUUUGAGUUCUCCGUAGAAUGUAAACCUCAGACGAAGUCAUGACGAACCAGGGAUAAAAGGAGUCAAUAGUGAAUCUGCUAAUCCAGUGUGAAGAAUGCACAUAGAAUCACUGGAAAGUACCACCCAGCUCUGCUGACAGGAUUCCCCUUAGAGUUCUGCCCUCCUUGGAACUAGGGGGAAAACGACAUCACCAUAAAUAAAAAAGGAGGCACACCUGGGUCCUGGAGGACUUGGAUCAUUGGAUGGAAGAAAUACAAGGACCACAAGAGUAACUGAUGGAUCAAAGAAUUCAGCCUGUUCUGAAAACCCUUUUUAAAAAAGGAUCCAAAAUGAAUGGCACCAUGGUUUUAAUAGUCUGCGGAAGAAUUUUAGUAUCAAGCAAAAGCUUAUUAGUACACUCUUUUCCUGGCACCCUCAAGAUCUGUUGUACUACAGCUAGCACCAUCCCCACACAUUGUCACUUAAUUUGGAAUGAUGGGAAUUGUAGUGCCCCAGGUGUGGAGGGCACUUGCUUGGAAAAAAGGUUGGUUUUUUUUUAGUAGAAUAUUUGAGACAUAUAAGUGCAUCAUGACACCGAGUUAAUCGCUUCUUGAAAAUGCUUCAAUAAACUCUCAUUCUAGUGAUGUCACAGCAGGUUAUUGUUAGCAAAAUAAUUGUUUCAUUUCUAUUGAACUUUCUAACAAUUUAAAAUUAGAUUUUUUUUAAAAAAAGACAAUAAACAUAGAAUAUAAUGUGUAUUUAGCAAAUGAAAUUUAGAAGUCAAUAAUUGAUUUUCUUCUAAGCAAAUUUAAUCAAAAUGGUUUUUUAAAAACUUUCCUUAACUUUUAAAGGAACCUUUGCAAUUAUUCAGCAUACAGUCUUGUUAUAUCUUCAUUCAGCAUAAUUAUUCUGGCUACUAUCUGUAACCUUUUAUAAAAGGAGAAACAUGCUAUUCCAAGGUGUUUAUUUUGUCCUAGAGGCAGGAAUAUUUUAGUGUGGGGUUCACUCACAUCGACCCAGAAUUUUUUAAUAGCUUAGAGAAGAUUCCCUUAUAUAUUUGAUUAUGAUGGGAUAGUUGAUCUUAUUGCUUUUGUUUUGUUUUUAUGUCAACAUCCCAUAAUUUAUUUAUUAAAGUUACAAAAACUGAAGAAAUCAAAUAAACAUUAAGGAAAAAUCUUUACUAUCUACAUUAUUCAAAAAUUGAUGAUUUAAUGGUAAUAAUUAUGUAAUAAUUAAAAUGUUUCGCAUAAAAACAAAGAUGAGUUAAAGAUGAAAAAGAAAUGAAGAUGGGAGGGAAAAAACAAGUAAUAAAAGGAUAUGAGGAAGAAAGGGAGAACCUAUCCUAUAAUAAUUAAGCCAGUAAACUCUUUCAGUAAACCGUCACUAAUAUUUUAAUUCUCCUAUUUUAAAACUUAAGCCUAACAUUCUCUACUAGAUUUGUUGUUCUUUAAUAUUUUAACUUACCUUAGUCUCCAACUACUCUUUGAACAAAAAUACUUCAUUUCUUUCUCUGUUAUUUAGCAAUACAGAUUUUUGCUGCAGUCAGAAGAAUUCUAUAAACUUCUAAAUAUGUUGCUUGAUCUUGUAUUUCUAAAGAUUUGGGGAAGCUAUUUUACAAUUAAAUGUUAAAUGUUUUCUGUAUUUUCUUGAAGGAUGGCUAACAUUUUCCUUCUCCUGUUUUUUAAAACAAAACCUAACAUUGUGAAAACACUCGUCGUUGAAAUGAUCACAUACCUAGCAGGGUAUAGAUAGUUUUGAAUUAUUUAUCUGGGAUAAGGGACUAUUCCUUCACCAUUUUAAAGAGGUUUUAUUUAGAACUUUUGUUGGUAAAAAUAGAAUAUUGUUUGCAUUUGUUCCUAUAUGUGGAAUGUAAAUGAGUAUAUUCGAUCUCAUAUGGUAUGAAAUAAAUGAUAGUGAUUAAUGUAUCUGAA